rnacentral:rRNA from 1 species
ACUCCCUACGGGAGGCAGCAGUGGGGAAGUAUUGCACAAUGGGCGGCAAGCCUGAUGCAGCCAUGCCGCGUGUGUGAAGAAGGCCUUCGGGUUGUAAAGCACUUUCAGUAGGGAGGAAGGUGGUAGUGUUAAUAGCGCUAUCAUUUGACGUUACCUACAGAAGAAGCACCGGCUAACUCCGUGCCAGCAGCCGCGGUAAUACGGAGGGUGCGAGCGUUAAUCGGAAUUACUGGGCGUAAAGCGCAUGCAGGUGGUUUGUUAAGUCAGAUGUGAAAG